UACGAAGGGGGCUAGCGUUGCUCGGAAUCACUGGGCGUAAAGGGCGCGUAGGCGGACAGUUUAGUCAGAGGUGAAAGCCCAGGGCUCAACCUUGGAACUGCCUUUGAUACUGACUGUCUUGAGUUCGGUAGAGGAGAGUGGAAUUCCCGGUGUAGUGGUGAUAUGCGUAGAUAUCGGGAGGAACACCAGUGGCGAAGGCGGCUCUCUGGGCCUUUCCUGACGCUGAGACGCGAAAGCGUGGGGAGCGAACCGG
rnacentral:rRNA from 1 species